rnacentral:rRNA from 1 species
UACGGAGGAUCCAAGCGUUAUCCGGAUUUAUUGGGUUUAAAGGGUGCGUAGGCGGCUUAUUAAGUCAGGGGUGAAAGACGGUGGCUCAACCAUCGCAGUGCCUUUGAUACUGAUGAGCUUGAAUGAACUAGAGGUAGGCGGAAUGUGACAAGUAGCGGUGAAAUGCAUAGAUAUGUCAUAGAACACCAAUUGCGAAGGCAGCUUACUACACAACGAUUACGCUGAGGCACGAAAGCGUGGGGAUCAAACAGG